AACGAACGCUGGCGGCAUGCCUAACACAUGCAAGUCGAACGAGAUCUUCGGGUCUAGUGGCGCACGGGUGCGUAACGCGUGGGAAUCUGCCCUUUGGUUCGGAAUAACAGUUGGAAACGACUGCUAAUACCGGAUGAUGACGAAAGUCCAAAGAUUUAUCGCCAGAGGAUGAGCCCGCGUAGGAUUAGCUAGUUGGUGUGGUAAAGGCGCACCAAGGCGACGAUCCUUAGCUGGUCUGAGAGGAUGAUCAGCCACACUGGGACUGAGAUACGGCCCAGACUCCUACGGGAGGCAGCAGUUAGGAAUCUUCCACAAUGGACGAAAGUCUGAUGGAGCAACGCCGCGUGCAGGAUGAAGGCCUUCGGGUUGUAAACUGCUUUUAUAGAGGAAGAUUAUGACGGUACUCUAUGAAUAAGGACCGGCUAACUACGUGCCAGCAGCCGCCGUAA
rnacentral:rRNA from 1 species